rnacentral:rRNA from 1 species
GAUGAACGCUGGCGGCGUGCCUAACACAUGCAAGUCGAGCGAACGGACGAGAAUCUUGCUUCUCUGAUGUUAGCGGCGGACGGGUGAGUAACACGUGGAUAACCUACCUAUAAGACUGGGAUAACUUCGGGAAACCGGAGCUAACACCGGAUAAUAUUUUGAACCGCAUGGUUCAUAAGUGAAAGACGGUCUUGCUGUCACUUAUAGAUGGAUCCGCGCUGCAUUAGAUAGUUGGUAAGGUAACGGCUUACCAAGGCAACGAUGCAUAGCCGACCUGAGAGGGUGAUCGGCCACACUGGAACUGAGACACGGUCCAGACUCCUACGGGAGGCAGCAGUAGGGAAUCUUCCGCAAUGGGCGAAAGCCUGACGGAGCAACGCCGCGCGAGUGAUGAAGGUCUUCGGAUCGUAAAACUCUGUUAUUAGGGAAGAACAGAUGUGUAAGUAACUGUGCACAUCUUGACGGUACCUAAUCAGAAAGCCACGGCUAACUACGUG